UCGGCCGGAACCGCCAUCUUCCAGUAAUUCGCCAAAAUGACCAACACAAAGGGAAAGAGGAGAGAUACUCGCUAUAUGUUCUCUAGACCUUUCAGAAAACAUGGAGUUGUUCCUUUGGCCACAUACAUGCGAAUCUAUAAAAAAGGUGAUAUUGUGGACAUCAAGGGAAUGGGCACUGUUCAAAAAGGAAUGCCCCACAAAUGUUACCAUGGCAAAACUGGAAGAGUCUACAAUGUUACUCAGCAUGCUGUUGGCAUUGUUGUAAACAAACAAGUUAAGGGCAAGAUUCUUGCCAAGAGAAUUAAUGUACGCAUUGAGCAUAUUAAACAUUCAAAGAGCCGAGACAGCUUCCUGAAGCGUGUGAAGGAAAAUGACCAGAAAAAGAAGGAAGACAAAGAGAAAGGUACUUGGGUUCAACUGAAGCGCCGGCCUGCCCCACCCAGAGAAGCACACUUUGUGAGAACUAAUGGAAAGGAGCCCGAACUGCUGGAACCCAUUCCCUAUGAAUUCAUGGCAUGAUAAAUGUAAAGAAAAUAAAAGACCUCAAGACCGUAAAAAUGUUUCUCUCAA